GACGUAGGGCGCGAGCGUUGUCCGGAUUUAUUGGGCGUAAAGAGCUCGUAGGCGGCUUGUCGCGUCGUCCGUGAAAACCAGGGGCUCAACCCCUGGCUUGCGGUCGAUACGGGCAGGCUAGAGUUUGGUAGGGGAGACUGGAAUUCCUGGUGUAGCGGUGAAAUGCGCAGAUAUCAGGAGGAACACCGGUGGCGAAGGCGGGUCUCUGGGCCGAUACUGACGCUGAGGAGCGAAAGCGUGGGGAGCGAACAGG
rnacentral:rRNA from 1 species